CUCGUCUAUGUUCCUUGGAACAGGACGUCACAGAGGGUGAGAAUCCCGUGCGAUGAGAUGCCCAAUUCUAUGUAAAGUGCUUUCGAAGAGUCGAGUUGUUUGGGAAUGCAGCUCUAAGUGGGUGGUAAAUUCCAUCUAAAGCUAAAUAUUGGCGAGAGACCGAUAGCGAACAAGUACAGUGAUGGAAAGAUGAAAAGAACUUUGAAAAGAGAGUGAAAAAGUACGUGAAAUUGUUGAAAGGGAAGGGCUUGAGAUCAGACUUGGUAUUUUGCGAUCCUUUCCUUCUUGGUUGGGUUCCUCGCAGCUUACUGGGCCAGCAUCGGUUUGGAUGGUAGGAUAAUGACUAAGGAAUGUGGCUCUACUUCGGUGGAGUGUUAUAGCCUUGGUUGAUACUGCCUGUCUAGACCGAGGACUGCGUCUUUUGACUAGGAUGUUGGCAUAAUGAUCUUAAGCCACCCGUCUUGAAACACGGACCAAGGAGUCUAACGUCUAUGCGAGUGUUUGGGUGUAAAACCCGUACGCGUAAUGAAAGUGAACGUAGGUGAGAGCUCUUAAGAGUGCAUCAUCGACCGAUCCUGAUGUCUUCGGAUGGAUUUGAGUAAGAGCAUAGCUGUUGGGACCCGAAAGAUGGUGAACUAUGCCUGAAUAGGGUGAAGCCAGAGGAAACUCUGGUGGAGGCUCGUAGCGGUUCUGACGUGCAAAUCGAUCGUCGAAUUUGGGUA
rnacentral:rRNA from 1 species